rnacentral:rRNA from 1 species
GUGGGGAAUAUUGGACAAUGGGCGCAAGCCUGAUCCAGCCAUGCCGCGUGUGUGAAGAAGGCCUUUUGGUUGUAAAGCACUUUAAGCGAGGAGGAGGCUCCUUUAGUUAAUACCUAAAGAGAGUGGACGUUACUCGCAGAAUAAGCACCGGCUAACUCUGUGCCAGCAGCCGCGGUAAUACAGAGGGUGCGAGCGUUAAUCGGAUUUACUGGGCGUAAAGCGUGCGUAGGCGGCUUUUUAAGUCGGAUGUGAAAUCCCUGAGCUUAACUUAGGAAUUGCAUUCGAUACUGGAGAGCUAGAGUAUGGGAGAGGAUGGUAGAAUUCCAGGUGUAGCGGUGAAAUGCGUAGAGAUCUGGAGGAAUACCGAUGGCGAAGGCAGCCAUCUGGCCUAAUACUGACGCUGAGGUACGAAAGCAUGGGGAGCAAACAGGAUUAGAAACCCCAGUAGUCC